GACACACAUCUCUCCACCAUAUGGAACAGCACCACAGAACAGCCUCUCUCUCUCUCUCUUCUGCUUCUUCUUCUUCUUCCUUGGCUGAAACCAUGGAGAAGCGCCAGCUCAAUCAGGAAAAAACUGAAGGUUUCAUGUUGCUUCCUAGUCUGUCUCCAAACUUGUUCGAUGGACCAUUGAUUUGUGCUGAGGAAGUCAGUAGCACUGAGAGGAAGCUCACUGACAUGUCAGAGGAAGAAGUAGAUCUCAUUUACAGGAUGCAUAGGCUUGUUGGUGACAGAUGGGAGCUGAUAGCUGGUAGAAUUCCCGGCCGCACUCCGGAGGAGAUCAAACGGUUUUGGAAGGUGAAGAACGAUCCAUGUUUUGCUGAGAAGGGGCUGAAGAGAAAGAGAGCUGUACAAGGAACUGUUGCUCAAGUACAGAACCAGAAGUGAUUACUGUGAGCUCCAAAUUCAAAUCAUGACAAGAAAAAGCCAGCAAGAUUUGAGGCAACGAUGAUUAAUUAAAGACAGAUCCUGCCAUUUUGUUUCAAGUUCUGUCACACCAGUGAGGUUACUACUGCUGACAAUGUGAAGAACUGAGAAGACUACAAGUAGAAGAACUUUAGAGAUUCAUCACAAUUGUUGAAGAUGCAAUUAUUGAUAGCUUUCUUGAUUCUGAUAAUGGGCAUACAAAAUGGUAGGUAUUGACCGAAAUCUUAUAGUCUUCUAAUGAAAUCUGUGUUGAAAUACAAUACUCAUCCGUUCUUCAUCAAUUUAAGGAGCUUUUUCAUCCGAAAAAUAAGCUCAUUAAAAAUGGAUGCUUUCGAUAUAAUGGUCAUAUGGAUAAUCAAUAGUC